rnacentral:rRNA from 1 species
UACGUAGGGGGCGAGCGUUGUCCGGAUUCAUUGGGCGUAAAGAGCUCGUAGGCGGCUUGGCAAGUCGGGUGUGAAAACUCCAGGCUCAACCUGGAGACGCCACCCGAUACUGCCAUGGCUUGAGUCCGGUAGGGGAUCACGGAAUUCCUGGUGUAGCGGUGAAAUGCGCAGAUAUCAGGAGGAACACCGGUGGCGAAGGCGGUGGUCUGGGCCGGAACUGACGCUGAGGAGCGAAAGCGUGGGGAGCGAACAGG